CACCGCGGUUAUACGAGAGACCCCAGUUGAUAGACUCCGGCGUAAAGCGUGGUUAAGAUCUAGUUAUACUAAAGCCGAAUACCCUCAAAGUUGUUAUACGCUCUCGAGGGAAAGAAGCCCAUCAACGAAAGUAGCUUUAUAAACCCUGACCCCACGAAAGCUAGGAAA
rnacentral:rRNA from 1 species